rnacentral:rRNA from 1 species
ACCCGGAUUUUAUCUGGGGCGGUAAAGCGGAUGGGCUAGGCUGGUUUCUUUAAGUCUGAUGUGAAAGCCCUCCCGGCUCAACCCGGUGGAUGAGUCAUUGGAAACUAGGGAGACUUGAGUGCAGAAGAGGAGAGUGGAAUUCCAUGUGUAGCGGUGAAAUGCGUAGAUAUAUGGAGGAACACCAGUGGCGAAGGCGGCUCUCUGGUCUGUAACUGACGCUGAGGCUCGAAAGCGUGGGGAGCGAACAGGAUUAGAUACCCUGGUAGUCCACGCCGUAAACGAUGAGUGCUAAGUGUUGGAGGGUAUCCGCCUUUCAGUGCUGCAGCAAACGCAUUAAGCUCUCCGCGUGGGGAGUACGACCGCAAGGUUGAAUCUCAAAGGAAUUGACGGGGCCCCGCACAAGCGGUGGAGCAUGUGGUUUAAUUAGAAGCAACGCGAAGCACCUUAUCAGGUCUUCACAUCCUUUGCCCACUCUAGAUAUAGAGUUUCCCUUUGGGGGGCAAAGUGACAGGUGGUGCAUGGUUGUCGUCAGCUCGUGUCGUGAGAUGUUGGGUUAAGUCCCGCAACGAGCGCAACCCUUACUGUUAGUUGCCAUCAUUUAGUUGGGCACUCUAGAGAGACUGCCGGUGACAAACCGGAGGAAGGUGGGGAUGACGUCAAAUCAUCAUGCCCCUUAUGACCUGGGCUACACACGUGCUACAAUGGGAUAGUACAGAGAGUUGCGAAGUCGCGAGGCUAAGCUAAUCUCUUAAAGCUUCUCUCAGUUCGGGUUGUAGGGCUCAACUCGCCCAACAAGAAACCUGAAGCGACUAGUAUCGCGAAUCCAGCAA